rnacentral:tRNA from 1 species
GACCUCGUAGCUCAGAUGGUAGAGCGAGCGCAUAAAAGGCGCAGGUGGAGUCCAUGCGUGGGUUUGAAUCCCACCGAGGCUA